ACUGGCCAACUAACCACUGGUCAAAUAUUUGUUGCUCAAAUAAAAAUUAGCCUCUGGUUAACUAACCACUGGUUAAGUGAUUUAACCACUGGUUAGUAUCCCACAAUGCAUUACAUUUGUCCACUUGUCAACCAAAACAAAAAUGGCCUCCAAAGUAGAUGAUCAUGUGAGUAAAAAAAAGGAGUAAUAACUUCAGCUGAUGAAACUCUGUUCCUUAUUGAGGAAGUUGAGAAAUAUUUUGAUGUUAUAAAAUCGAAACAAACGAAUCAAGUCACUAAUAUAAAGAAGACACAGGCUUGGAAAGAAAUAACCAAUGCUAUAAAUUCAAGGGGAGGAUCCACAAGAACUGUGGAUCAAAUCAAAGAAAGGUACAGGAAGGUGUGUAAUAAAGCCAAGGCAGACAUUAUCUCAAUCAAGAAGGACCGCGCUAAGACCGGCGGUGGGCCACCACAGCCCUCACUGAAUCUCGUGUCACAGAAAGUUGUGGACUUACAGAUUCGCCCAAUUUCUUUGGAAUAACCGGAGGGGUCGAGGUUGGAUUACAUUUACCAGAGGUACUACCUUACUCAGCUGAUUGUGGGAAUUCCAGUGGUAAUACAGUUGAAAAUACAGUAAUUGUUAACCAAGAAAAGAAGGCAUGUACAAAUGAUCUUUUUAUGACAGAGGCAGCAAACGAUGGAAAAG